CAUUGCGUACCAAGCACUCGUCUCAUCUCCAUCUACCCUCGAGCGCCGCCUCCACCCCUCGCCAUCACCUCCUCUCCCGGCUCCAGAUCGGCGAUCACCCCAGCGGUGCCCCUCCUCCCCUCCACUGGCUUCUCCCACCUCUCGCCCCUCAGCCUCUCCUCGGCCCCCAUCUCUCCUUGCGGGAUUUCUCUCGUCCGCCCGACCCGAUCUAGAUCGAUGGAGGCGCCAUCGCCCUUGUGCCAACGCCGACGCUGCCGUUCGGUCGCUGACACCGAUGUAUUUCGCCUCUUCCUCGAUCUGUCUAGUUCAUGGUGUGAAGAGCCUGCCGUGAGGGUGGUAUUCAUCGUCGUCAACAACGGCAGCUGCGGCUUCAGAAGGGCUUUGCGAUGCUAGGAUUCCCCUUAUUUCUAUAAUUUGGGGAAUGGAUUGCUACUAUAAGGUUGGCUGAACUAAUGGAUCGGUUGAACUAGAAGUAGAUAAAGAUUAGUUACUUUCUUGUCCCUGAACUUGUUGGAAUCUACCGAUUAGUGUAAUAUGCAUCAGUUUGUACUGUAAGGACACUAGUUUCUGUGGCAUAGAAGUCAAUGUAUGCAAACCACAGGCUAUUAAGAAAUAGCUAGGCCUCACUAGUUCAUUAUCUAGCACCUACCGUGAGUCUUAUGCUCGUGCUGGAGCAAGUUUCUCCUGCUUAUGCUUGUUCUAAUUCAGUAGUUCUGACGCAUAUCAGUUGUGGUGAUCUGGUGUGAUUUUGCCCACACUUGCUGCUGCUAGUUAAAUAAAUAAACUUUACACAUGAGUGAGUUGCAAGUUUAUUUCUGCUUAUCACAUUAGCUGAGAGCCUAUUCUCUGGGUUGAUAACAGAAGGGUCUCCCCUUGAACAAAGUCCGAGUCUUCCCCGACAACCAUACCGAGCUGCUGCUCCUAGAAACGUCCUCAGAUCCUCAGAGCUGCUGCCAGGCUGCCACUGGCCACAACCCCAAAUUGCUUCUCCUGUCGUUGGCGAUGUCCCUAACCUGCGGCUGUUGUCUUCGACUGUGACAUGCUGUUGCUGGUGAGGCCCCUCUUCACAUGAAGGAAGCGAUGCUGUGAGGCCCCUCUAACGUGCCAGUAAUCAGAAGAUUGUAUUCCUGAAUUCAAUUUUAUUUAUAUGUGCUUGAGUUUCUGGUAUGUAAUGAUCUCAAUCCACUACUAAACUAUCUACUUAUUUUGGUACGAUCAGUUUAUAUUUCAGUGGUUCAAUUAUUGGGCUAGCUAGAAAUCAAUACACAUGUAUUUACAAAUCCAGCAAUCACAAGUACAGGAGCAACUAACGUGCAUGCUGGCAGGCAACAUGGUCCGUGUGGGCUUUGUCGAUGGCGGCUGCCGCUAGUGCUGCCUUGAAGUCCAGUACUAAUGUGAGAGUUGCCCCUGCAAGGUCUGCAAUGAGCAUAUGCAGAUUUUGCCACAACUUGCUUCUAAUUACAUGUGCACUGACAAGGCAGAGACAACAGCGCAGGUGGCGGUAGCACGAGAUGGCACAUCAAGAAGCCAGAAGCGGGUGCCCAUCAGUCGCAAAAAAUAACG